rnacentral:rRNA from 1 species
UGGGGAAUUUUGGACAAUGGGGGAAACCCUGAUCCAGCCAUCCCGCGUGUGCGAUGAAGGCCUUCGGGUUGUAAAGCACUUUUGGCAGGAAAGAAACGUCAUGGGUUAAUACCCCGUGAAACUGACGGUACCUGCAGAAUAAGCACCGGCUAACUACGUGCCAGCAGCCGCGGUAAUACGUAGGGUGCAAGCGUUAAUCGGAAUUACUGGGCGUAAAGCGUGCGCAGGCGGUUCGGAAAGAAAGAUGUGAAAUCCCAGAGCUCAACUUUGGAGCUGCAUGUUUAGCUACCGGGCUAGAGUGUGUCAGAGGGAGGUGGAAUUCCGCGUUGAGCAGUGAAAUGCGUAGAUAUGCGGAGGAACACCGAGGGCGAAGGCAGCCUCCUGGGAUAACACUGACGCUCAUGCACGAAGGCGUGGGGGGCAAACAGG